UACGUAGGGUGCAAGCGUUGUCCGGAAUUACUGGGCGUAAAGCGUGCGCAGGCGGUUUUGUAAGACUGUCGUGAAAUCCCCGGGCUCAACCUGGGAAUGGCGAUGGUGACUGCAAGGCUAGAGUUUGGCAGAGGGGGGUAGAAUUCCACGUGUAGCAGUGAAAUGCGUAGAUAUGCGGAGGAACACCGAUGGCGAAGGCAAUCCCCUGGACCUGUACUGACGCUCAUGCACGAGAGCGUGGGGAGCAAACAGG
rnacentral:rRNA from 1 species